CACGUAGGGUGCGAGCGUUGUCCGGAAUUAUUGGGCGUAAAGAGCUUGUAGGCGGUUUGUCGCGUCUGCUGUGAAAAUCCGGGGCUCAACCCCGGACUUGCAGUGGGUACGGGCAGACUGGAGUGUGGUAGGGGAGACUGGAAUUCCUGGUGUAGCGGUGGAAUGCGCAGAUAUCAGGAGGAACACCGAUGGCGAAGGCAGGUCUCUGGGCCACUACUGACGCUGAGAAGCGAAAGCAUGGGGAGCGAACAGG
rnacentral:rRNA from 1 species